rnacentral:tRNA from 1 species
GUCUGGCUGGCUCAGUUGGUGGAGCAUGUGACUCUUGAUCUCCGGGUUGUGAGUUCAAGCCCCAUGUUGGGUG